rnacentral:rRNA from 1 species
UACGUAGGGUGCGAGCGUUGUCCGGAAUUAUUGGGCGUAAAGAGCUCGUAGGCGGUGUGUCGCGUCGGUCGUGAAAACUUGGGGCUUAACCCUGAGCUUGCGGUCGAUACGGGCAUCACUGGAGUUCGGCAGGGGAGACUGGAAUUCCCGGUGUAGCGGUGAAAUGUGUAGAGAUCGGGAGGAACACCGGUGGCGAAGGCGGGUCUCUGGGCAAUUCCUGACGCUGAGGCGCGAAAGCGUGGGGAGCAAACGGG